rnacentral:rRNA from 1 species
CCAAUAGCGUAUAUUAAAGUUGUUGCAGUUAAAAAGCUCGUAGUUGAAUUUCGGGGUUCCACCGUUGGUCGGGCUAUUGUCUGUACUGGCGUGUGGAAUUUCUACCUUCUGGGGAACUAUCAUGUUAUUAAUUUAGCGUGGUAGGAAACCAGGACCUUUACCUUGAAAAAAUUAGAGUGUUCAAAGCAGGCUUAUGUCUGAAUACAUUAGCAUGGAAUAAUAAAAUAGGACGGUGGUCCUGUUUUGUUGGUUUCUGAAUCACCGUAAUGAUUAAUAGGGAUAGUUGUGGGCAUUAGUAUUCAAUUGUCAGAGGUGAAAUUCUUGGAUUUAUUGAAGACUAACUACUGCGAAAGCAUUUGCCAAGGAUGUUUUCAUUAAUCAAGAACGAAAGUUAGGGGAUCGAAGACGAUCAGAUACCGUCGUAGUCUUAACCAUAAACUAUGCCGACUAGGGAUCGGACGAUGUUAACUUUUCUUGACUCGUUCGGCGCCUUACG